CUUCACUUAAUGAGAUUUGAUGUGUGUGUGCAGCCUUAAUACUUCCCUCCAUGCAAAACAAUAAACACACUCACCAACCUCUGUACUCUCUACCCCACAUGCUCCAUUCUGUUCAACCCACAAGAAGCCACAGGUCUUCCUGUCACUAAAGCCUAUUGUGUGCUUUUAGAAUUUUGUAUGAACACAAUCAGAUUGGAGCUUCCAUUUGGCAACUCGUUCUCUGGUCUGAAGCACUUCCAUUAAUGUUCAUGGCAGGGUGGAGCCUGUGCUUUAGAGGAUCCCUCUUCUUCCAAUUGGUGUAGUUGGGGCUGUGGCUCCGUUGAAUGCUCCUUCAGGGGCAAGCAGGGCUGAGACUUCGGUGAUUGCUCCUCCUGUUGUAGAUGGGUCCAAGGCUCAGAUGGCCUCUCCUUCAGAUGCAGCACAUACAGGAACCAUCCUGUGCAUACUUCAAGGGAUGAAGUGGUCCAGGAAAGAUGACUAGCUUCGUUCAUUUGUCACAAGACCCACACUCAACACCCAAGACUCACAGCUUUCUCCUCUUGGAGGCUCCGUACCAGUGGUUCUCAACCUGCGUGCUCACAACAUAGGAAACAAUCAUUUGGAGUUGAUUUAUAUUCUGCAUGCCAGCAUCUUCUUGGGAGUGUGGAGGCUACUCUAGCUGUAGUACUUCCUGGCAUUCCUAAAGUUGGGGUUUCCAGUGAGGCAAGGAAACUUGAUGAAAACUCGCCUGUCAGAGGUCAGACAGAUCCUGAGCUAUUCUGUGACAUAACAACCUCAGUCAGGUCCUGGAAGUGAGACACUCUCAGGUCAAGUGCACGAGGGACAGCAGCCUGGACGGAUGUAGACUGGAGGGUGUAUGGCUGUCUGUCCCUUCCUACUGCUUGCCUGCGUCCCCACUCACACCAUUUACACUUCACUUACCACCAGAUAAGUGGUUCAUGUUGUGAUUACAGCAGUCAGGAAGCUGAGGCAGGGGGUUUGUGGUGAGUUUGAAGUCAGCCUGGGCUACAAAGCAGCGUGGGCUACCUAGCAAGACCUAAUUUUAAAAAUCUCUUUGUAGGUCUUUUAUUCCCCCAUUACCUCAUUCUUCGACUAAAAAAAAGAAAAUGGUGAUGUAGCUACAAGAACCCCGAUGGGAUCCCUGGACCUUACCAGUGCCAGCACAGGAGUUUUGAUAAAUGUAAAACCUCCUUAACCAGCAAGUAGCUCAAACAAGACGAAAAUCUCAAUGCCACAUAGAACAGCCCACUGUGUCCCUCUCUAGUUGCCACCCGCCUCCAUUCCAGAGCGGCUGCUCUGGUUUCAUCACCCAGGGCUCCAGAACUUGAUGGUUGUUUGUCUACCACAGCAUCUGUUCGCAUCCGGAUAAUCUCAAUCCACGCUAUGGUAUUUCAAGAGAUGCUUUCAUUUGUAUCCUUCCUUGGCAUUGGGUAGUCUCCGGUGUCACUUGCUGAACAGCCUGUCUCCCAUUCAUUUGCUCAGAACAGUUGUCCAAAAUCAUGCUCUUCAAGACACACAGGGGUGGGCCUAGGCCCUAUCCCAAAGGAGCCGAUAGACUCUGAUGAGCCCCUAUGGAAGGCCUCACCCUCCAGGGGGAGCAGAAAAGAUAUGUGACAGAUAAGGUUUUAUUUGGGGGUGGGGAUGGUAGGGGAGGAUGGGAGGGAGAAGGAAACUGG
rnacentral:lncRNA from 1 species